CAGCCGCCACGGUAAUACAGAGGGUGCGAGCGUUAAUCGGAUUUACUGGGCGUAAAGCGUGCGUAGGCGGCUAAUUGAGUCGGAUGUGAAAUCCCCGAGCUUAACUUGGGAAUUGCAUUCGAUACUGGUUAGCUAGAGUGUGGGAGAGGAUGGUAGAAUUCCAGGUGUAGCGGUGAAAUGCGUAGAGAUCUGGAGGAAUACCGAUGGCGAAGGCAGCCAUCUGGCCUAACACUGACGCUGAGGUACGAAAGCAUGGGGAGCAAACAGGAUUAGAUACCCGCGUAGUCCCUGUCUCUUAUAA
rnacentral:rRNA from 1 species